AACAGCAGGCCCAACUUCCACAUCAAAUGACCCAAACAAUAAAAAAGCCUAAAGCCCACCUAGCCCAACAAACUAAACAUUUUCAGCAACAAAAAAACCCUAGCCACCAAGUUUUCAGCCGCCACUCCCCUCACCCUUGGCCAUCACGCGCACCACCCACGCACGCCCCUCACCUCCUCGUGAGCCACCCACAUCUGACACACCUGCAACAGAGACAAAAACAACAGCAAGAGAAAGCAUGCGAGGGAUGGUGGAAGAAAUAAAAAAAGAACGAAAACAAAAAAAUAAAAGAUGAAUGUUUUGUAGAUCGGCCUUAAAAAGCCAAAAUCUAUCAUUUGUAAAGGGGGGAUUUUACAAAGAUUGAAAAAGAGACAAUCACAAAAAUCCCUCUGAACUUCGAAUACAAAGGAAAAAUCAAUAAAAAGGUUUGCAUUUUUUUAUUUUUCUCUCUUCUUUCGAAUCUUUUUUUUUGUUUUUUUUUCCUUCUUUCUAUAUACAUAUACAUAUAUAUUAUUAAAAACAAAAAACAAAAAAGUUACAUUUUGAACUUCCGGCCACC
rnacentral:lncRNA from 1 species